rnacentral:miRNA from 1 species
UCCCUGAGACCCUAGAGUUUC